rnacentral:rRNA from 1 species
GACAGAGGGUGCAACCGUUGUUCGGAAUUACUGGGCGUAAAGCGCGUGUAGGCGGCUAUACAAGUCGGAUGUGAAAUCCCGCGGCUUAACCGUGGAAGUGCACCCGAAACUGUAUCGCUAGAGUCCCGGAGAGGAUGGUGGAAUACUUGGUGUAGAGGUGAAAUUCGUAGAUAUCAAGUGGAACACCGGUGGCGAAGGCGGCCAUCUGGACGGUGACUGACGCUGAGACGCGAAAGCGUGGGUAGCAAACAGG